ensembl:lncRNA
AAUCAGACCGGUUGUCCCCUCCUCCGAAGACCCUUCCAAGAUGGAGAACUUCUACUACGAAAUUGGUGCACCUGAGCAUCCACAAGUGCCACCCAGCUAUACACGCCACAGCUAUCAAAAUAUGAAGUUGGAUCUGGAGGGAAACCUCCGUCUCUCUGAUCCAGCCAAUCAAAGGCCUAUUUCCAGGGGUUACCCUCCUCCCUACAACCAUCAAGGACCAGGGGGCGGAAGGGUUCCCCAGCUUUGGUCAUCUGAGGCCACACGAGCUUGGGCCGCAGCACACUCUCACUCUUUCUCCUUUUCCCAUUCUCAUUCUCACCAUCGCUCUCAGGAUGGAUCAUCAGGACAUCCUCCCCAUCCCCGUCCCCAGCGUCAGACAUCAUCAUCUGUCCGGUUACCUCGCAGUGAAGUGUAUCCCAUACCCGCAUCCGUUGGAGUGGGCUCCGCUGCUGGCAUGGUGCCUCUGUCUGUGCACCAACGUAGCUUGCAUCACCCCCAGCGUUCCCCUUCUGCAGACCACACAGCCUCCCAGCUUCACCCCUACUUUGAAAACGGGAAGGUGUGUUACCGGUACUUUGAGGCUUCCAGACCGGAAGACUUGCCACUGAAUCAGCAUCAGCAUGCUGUAUUAAAGCCAUCUCAGGCCUCACCAGUACAAGGAAUCUCAAAAGAUCAGCCUGAACACAUUUAUGUCAACUACCCUUUCACAAACCCACCAGGAUCUGGGAUUAAUUCAAAGGGCUGGGCCACCACAGACCUCGACGAAAAUGAUCACCAAACAUCAGAGACACUGGAACCACCUUCCAAGUCACUACCGGAUGACAAACAGAAGCAUUCAGAGCAAGCAAGUCACACGGCUGGUUUCGACAGCCCUGCUCAGAAUGAUGUGUCCUCUGAUUCCAAAGUGAUCAAUAUAGCAGCGUCUGCCUCCAAUGCCAUGCAUUUCCGCAGUCGCUCAGAUCCCCAAAGUACUAGCUCGGAGCCUGCUCAUGUACUGACUGGGAAGGAAAUUGCCUCCUUGCUAAUUGAAAAGCUUGCUGAGGAUGAAAGGGAGGGUCCUUCUGUGCCAUCCUCUUCAUCCACUUCUCCGCACAUUGAACACCCUCCAAAUCCCUACCCUAGUCAGCAGCAGCAACAACCUCCACUUGCGUAUAAUAUCUACACUCCAGGACCCUCUCGUGGUCGCUUUGAAGGUCAGGUGCCACCUAGAGAGGGAUCAGGACCUUUCCAACGUCAAGACCCCUUGCGGAGAUCUUCCGGAGGCCAGUAUAGACAAGCUUUUGACGUCAUGCCAUCUGGCGACCAAGUCCUUAAGUUUUACAGGAGCCAAGACUUUAUCCCAAGCGCCCAGGGAGAAAGCACAACCCCUAAUCCUUAUUCCCCAAGACCAUAUUAUCAGGACCCCCCAUACCCCAGUUGGGGCCCUCAAGGCCUCCCAGACUCUUCCCACACAUGCACUCCACCUACAGUGGCCUUCUCAAACUUAGCGCUUGGAUCAACAAGAGGAUAUGGGCCUCAUACCAUGGCCAACCAGUUUAACCAGUACCCAUACCAGUCAGGG